UCUUAUGGACGAGCAAAGAAAGUGGUGUCUUGAGAUGAAGUCUACCUUUGGUGAAGAUGCUAUGAA
rnacentral:pre_miRNA from 1 species